GAUGAACGCUGGCGGCGUGCCUAAUACAUGCAAGUCGAGCGAAGCGGGCACGGGUGAGUAACACGUGGAUAACCCCCUAUAUGACUGGGAUUACCUCGGGAAACCGGAGCCAAACCGGAUUCUUAUACCUGGUUCCGUGCUGCAUUAGCUAGUUGGUAAGCUAACGGCUUACCAAGGCAACGAUUCAUAGCCGACCUGAGAGGGGGAUCGGCCACACUGGAACUGAGACACGGUCCAGACUCCUACGGGAGGCAGCAGUAGGGAAUCUUCCGCAAUGGGCGAAAGCCUGACGGAGCAACGCCGCGUGAGUGAUGAAGGUCUUCGGAUCGUAAAGCUCUGUUAUUAGGGAAGCGGUACCUAAUCAGAAAGCCACGGCUAACUACGUGCCAGCAGCCGCGGUAAUUC
rnacentral:rRNA from 1 species